GCUUUCUUUAUUUCACGUGUUUCUUAGUGUUUAUUCCACCGAUUUAGGGAGUAUUAAGAAGUUUUACUAAAUUAAUUGAUAAAAAAUUAUAAUGAUUCUCACACACCAUGAAAGAGAAUUUAGAAUACAUUAAUACAAAUGUAGUUAGUGGUUAGAAAUUUAAAAAAACACUAAUGAUUAUAGGCUUCAAUAUAUAAAGAAUUUACCAAAAUUCAAUAUUUACACAUACAUUUUGAGAAAAUUUCAAAAAAUAUGGCAAUAUUGUUUUAAUGCAUAGUUGCAUCCUGUACUAAUAUAUGAUGAUAUUGAAAGAGGUUUUCAGCCUUUGUUGUCUCCGUUUUUCAAGAAAAUAGCGAU
rnacentral:lncRNA from 1 species